AUGAGAAAUGCUCCUUUCAUGGAAUCCCAGCAGUCAACAUAAAAUUGAAAAUCAGGACUUCUUUCAAUAAAUGUUACUAGAGCAAUUGGAUAUCCACGUGGGGGGAAAGUGAAUCUUAACUCUUCUUUAUAUACACAAAAAUUAAUUCAAAAUUAAUUAUAACUUAAACAUAAAAGAAAAAAUAAAACUUACAAACAAAAUAUGGAGAGUGUUGGAGUAGGUAGAGUCCUUAGAUAGGACACAAAAACUGUUAACCUUAAAAGAAAAAAAAUCAAUUAAUUAAAUUUCAUUAAAACUAAGAAUUUCUAAAAAUACAUGUUUAGGAAAGGAAAUGGCAAGCCAUUAACUGAGAGAAGAUUUUUUUGCAGUACAUAUAUCUGACAAAGGGCUUAAAUUCAGAAUCUGUAAAGAACUAUAGACUCAAUAAAAAAGCACAAAUAACCAGUUUUUUAAAUGGUCAAAAGAUUUUAACAGGCACUUCACAGAAGAGGGUAUCAAAGUGUCCAAUGAGCAUAUGGAAAUAUGCUUAAUAUAGUUACUCAUCUGGGAAAUAGACAUUGAAACCACAGUGAGAUACCACUACAUAUUUGCCAGAAUGGCUAAAAUUAAAAAGUCUAAUAAUACCGAGUGUUGGUAAAUUUGUGGUGAAUAGAACUGGAUACAUUGCUGGUGGUCAUGUGAAUUGGUUUGACUACUUUGGGAAACUCUUGGGCAGUUAAGCAAAGUGUAUAUCCUACCCCAUAAUCCAGCAAUCCCAGACCUGGUAUGUUGAAGAGGAAUAAGUACAUCUAUCCACCAAAGGAUUUGCAUAAGAAUGUUCACUAAAGCUUUAUUCAUAAUAGCCCAAAACAGGAAAAAUCCAAAUGUUCAUCAAUAGUAGAAUAGAUAAAUGUUCUCUGUUUAUACAAUGGAAUACUAUACAUCAAUGAAAAAUAACAUUACGAAUUCAUGCAAAAACAUGGUUGAAUCUCACAAAUAUUAUGGUAAACUAAAAAAGCUAGGCACAAAAGGGCACAGACUGUCUAAUUUAUAUGUUCAAGAAUAGGUACAGUAGCCAAACAGUAAUAGAAGUCAGAAUGGCACUUCCUCUGGUGAGAAAAUAUUGACCCAUAAGGAGAGAGGGGCUUUCUGGAGUAAUGGCAGUGUUCUAUAUCGCUGUCUGGGUAGUAGUUAUACAUGGGUAUUCAUACACAAAAAUGUAUAGAGCUGUGCGCUUUAGAUAUGUGCACAUAUGUCUCACUUACAUAUUGUUUCUUAAAAAGAUUUAUUUAUUUUAGAAAGCAAGCACUUGAGUUGGGGGCAAGGGAGAGAGAGAAAAUCUCAAGCGGACUCCCUGCUGAGCAUGGAGCUCUCAGGGGGCUCGAUCUCACAACCCUGAGAUCAUGACCCGAGCUGAAAUCAAGAAUUGGUCACUUAACUGACUAAGCCACCCAAGCACCCCACUUACGCUUGUUUUAUUUGGGGGUGUUAGAAUUUCUCAGAGAGGGUAUUUGCCUCUGCCUGAGAGCAGAGUGCCAGUUCUAAAAAGCGUGUGGACUCUGUCUUAUAACGAGAGGGCUUUAUGGAACCCUGGGCUGAAAAUAUUGAUGUUUGUCAGGAUAGACGUAGAUCUAAUCAAUCAAGACGACUAAUUCUAGGCACAAAAAUUGCAGUUGAAACAUUAGCACCUUAAACUAGAGUUUCACUGCUUUUUUGCCCCUGGUUUGUUAAAUUGUUUCUAUUUAAGUUUUUCUUUUUUCUUGUCAUCUCAUUACUUAUAGGAAUACUUUGCUUUUUGUGGUAAGUCUGCUGAUACUGAUUAAUAGAAAUAAGCCCUUUUUCCCCCUUUCUGUUUAUGGGAUUGAAUUCCUCCUCUUUCAAAUUAAAUACUGGAAUAUUGGAGUUUAACUAUUUAGAAGGAGGAAUGAACAUUUUUCUCCUUGGAAGUACAUAACUAGUUAUGAGACUGAUGUGCUGCCUACUAUGCUGAGGCACCUAGUACAUGACUAAUUAAUUUCUUUUGUUUCAUGGAAAGGAUUUGUAAACUAUUUGAGGAUGAAUUUUUUUCUCCCAAAUGAAUGUACAGUUUCUUGUGAGCAAAAUACUUCCCCCAUUGCUUUGGUAAUUAGUCAUGUGAGUUACUGUGAGAGCACUUCUGACAAGGCAGGUUGGAAUUAGUAGGAAACACUAUGGGUGAAGAAAAAGGGAAUGUCUUCUAUGUCCUUACUUGAAAGGUUUUGGAAACUUGCUGAUCCACAAAGUUGUUUCAGUCUGGACAUUGAAAAAGAGCAGAUGGGGCGCCUGGUAGGAGGAGAAUUAUAUGGAUAUGCUAUUUGGAGAUUUGUUUGUGUAUAGUCUUUGGUCUGCCUUUUGUUCUCAGUCCCAAGUUUCUCUUCAUUCCUAAUUGGAAUAUGAGUGUUACAAACAAAUACAAUUUUUUAUUGAUGCUUUUGAAAUUGAUAGACAUCUUCAGGAAUGCAUAAGAAUAAAACUAAGCUGGAGCUAACUUUUUAGAGCUUUUUAUGUCUCUUAUCGACUGACAGAAGGUGCAUUUGUCAUUUUCCAAUCAGAGUUUUAGUUCUACAAGUUCAUUGGCAAACUGGAGCAUUAGCUAAAAAAGACCUUUUAUUGUUCCUGUAACUUUACUUGGAGAGCUUUCCACCAACAAUAUCCCAUAUGGCUUUAUAGCAUAUAUUCAUUUAUGCCUUACCUUGUUUCUAGAGGGAUUUGAAUAAGUUACAGUAUACAUAUAACACAUUGAAGUAAAAAUAAAUAUGCUUGGAAUUUGGAGCACAAAGGAAGACAAACAAACAAAAAGCCAAUAGAUAGCCACAAAUUUUACUCCCAAGCUCCCUAGUACUGAAAUAAAGAAGAUUGCCAGGAACUGAAUGAAAUUUACAAAGGCCAUAAAAUAAAAAACAA